rnacentral:rRNA from 1 species
UACGGAGGGUGCAAGCGUUAUCCGGAUUCACUGGGUUUAAAGGGUGCGUAGGUGGGUUGGUAAGUCAGUGGUGAAAUCCCCGAGCUUAACUUGGGAACUGCCAUUGAUACUAUCAGUCUUGAAUACCGUGGAGGUUAGCGGAAUAUGUCAUGUAGCGGUGAAAUGCUUAGAUAUGACAUAGAACACCAAUUGCGAAGGCAGCUGGCUACACGAAUAUUGACACUGAGGCACGAAAGCGUGGGGAUUAAACAGG